rnacentral:rRNA from 1 species
GACGAACGCUGGCGGCGUGCUUAACACAUGCAAGUCGAACGGACAGGCCCUGCUUUUGUGGGGUGCUCGAGUGGCGAACGGGUGAGUAAAACGUGAGUAACCUGCCCUUGACUUUGGGAUAAAUUCAGGAAAAAGGGGCUAAUACCGGAUAGGAGAUCCUGCUGCAUGGUGGGGGUUGGAAAGUUUCGGCGGUUGGGGAUGGACUCGCGGCUUAUCAGCUUGUUGGUGGGGUAGUGGCUUACCAAGGCUUUGACGGGUAGGCGGCCUGAGAGGGUGGCCGGCCACAUUGGUACUGAGAUACGGCCCAGACUCCUACGGUAGGCAGCAGUGGGGAAUAUUGCGCAAUGGGCGGAAGCCUGAUGCAGCAACGCCGCGUGCGUGAUGACGGCCUUCGGGUUGUAAACCGCUUUCGCCUUCGACGAAGCGUGAGUGACGGUAAUUGGUAAAGAAGCACCGGCUAACUACGUG